rnacentral:rRNA from 1 species
GCAAGUCUGGUGCCAGCAGCCGCGGUAAUUCCAGCUCCAAUAGCGUAUAUUAAAGUUGUUGCAGUUAAAAAGCUCGUAGUUGAACCUUGGGCUUGGUUGGCCGGUCCGCCUUUUUGGCGAGUACUGGACCCAACCGAGCCUUUCCUUCUGACUAACCUUUCGCCCUUGUGGUGUUUGGCGAACCAGGACUUUUACUUUGAAAAAAUUAGAGUGUUCAAAGCAGGCCUUUGCUCGAAUAUAUUAGCAUGGAAUAAUAGAAUAGGACGUUAUGGUUCUAUUUUGUUGGUUUCUAGGACCAUCGUAAUGAUUAAUAGGGACGGUCGGGGGCAUCAGUAUUCAGUUGUCAGAGGUGAAAUUCUUGGAUUUACUGAAGACUAACUACUGCGAAAGCAUUUGCCAAA